GUUUAAAUUUUUUAUAUUUUCUUCGCCGACUAGUUCCGGGUUCGAAUCCCGGGCAACCCAC
rnacentral:tRNA from 2 species